UACAGAGGUCUCAAGCGUUGUUCGGAUUCAUUGGGCGUAAAGAGCUCGUAGGCGGCUUGUUGCGUCAGCUGUGAAAACCCGCAGCUCAACUGCGGGCUUGCGGUUGAUACGGGGUGGGCUGGAGUUCGGUAGGGGAGACUGGAAUUCCUGGUGUGAGCGGUGAAAUGCGCAGAUAUACAGGAGGAACACCGAUGGCGAAGGCAGGGUCUCUGGGCCAACUACUGACGCUGAGAAGCGAAGCCAGGGGAGCAAACGGG
rnacentral:rRNA from 1 species